GAUGAAGAACGCAGCGAAAUGCGAUAAGUAAUGUGAAUUGCAGAAUUCAGUGAAUCAUCGAAUCUUUGAACGCACAUUGCGCCCGCCAGUAUUCUGGCGGGCAUGCCUGUACGAGCGUCAUUUCAACCAUCAAGCCCCCGGCUUGUGUUGGGGACCUGCGGCUGCCGCAGGCCCUGAAAACCAGUGGCGGGCUCGCUGUCACACCGAGCGUAGUAGAUUUUCAUCUCGCUCAGGGCGUGCUGCGGGUUCCGGCCGUAAAAAGCCUUAUUUACCCAAGGUUGACCUCGGAUCAGGUAGGAAGACCCGCUGAACUUAAGCAUAUCAAUAAGCGGAGGA
rnacentral:misc_RNA from 1 species